ensembl:lncRNA novel transcript, sense intronic to WWOX
CCUCAUGUAUCACUGAAACAACCAACUGAAAACCAUUGAGAGGCUCAUGGUGAAAGAAGACAGACAGUGUAAUUUCCCUGGAAACUCAAUUUUGAUUCAGACGUCCACAGCAUCUCAUUUCUGCCUUUAAAAAAUUUCAAGAGUGACAUUUUGGCAUGACUGGACUCACAGGUGGAGAAGUGUUGUCUUUUCCCUGCAUUGAGAUAGCAUUGCAUGGAGAUCCUUGUACUCUUCGAACAGAGGCUGCAGAUGGACACAGGAUCUGCUCAGGGAGAUAAGAUCACCUGCUAAUUCUGCUUUCUCCAUCAGAGUCUGAAUGAUCAGUGAUGGGGACCAGAGCUAGGUUAGGUCUCUGGAAACGCCCUCUGUCUGAGUCCGGGAGAUGGAUGAUAUGGGUAAUGACUUGCUGCUUUAUCUUCUCUCCAUCUCCUUACAGCAGCUCCAACUACUGACUUUUAUUGUGUGGCAGCUAAUUGUAGGAUUCUAUUUCUGUAAAGAGAAGGCAAGAGAGGAAUGCAGUGUCCACCAUCCCUGCAGCCCUUUGGCGCCUUCCCCCUCCCAUUACCUUGAAGUAGAGGGAAAGGGGACGACAGAAGAACCCUUAGAAGUAAGACUUUUUCUGUCUCUGAUGCCACGGACCUUUGAAAUAUUUUUUUGAAAAGAAGGCCUCCCUUGGCUGAUACCUUCUGACUGUUAGUGAAUAAAGG